rnacentral:rRNA from 1 species
GAUGGGGAGCGAAAUUUAGUAGCGAAGUAGCUGAUUUCACCCUGUCAAGAAAAGUCUCUAUCGAGGUUAAAGGUACCCGUACCGCAAACCGACACAGGUGGGUGAGGAGAGUAUCCUAAGGCCCGCGAGAGCACUGUUGUUAAGGAACUCGGCAAAAUGACCCCGUAACUUAGGGAUAAGGGGUGCCACCAUCCGGUGGCCGCAGAGAAUAGGCCCAAGCGACUGUUUACCAAAAACAUAGGUUUCUGCUAAGUCGCAAGACGAUGUAUAGGAGCUGACGCCUGCCCGGUGCUGGAAGGUUAAGGGGAUCUGUUAGAGCAAACGAAGCAGUGAACUUAAGCCCCAGUAAACGGCGGCCGUAACUAGAACGGUCCUAAGAUGGCGAAAUUCCUUGUCGGGUAAGUUCCGACCCGCACGAAAGGCGUAA